rnacentral:lncRNA from 1 species
GGUAGCACUCUUAACCUGCGGUUCAAAUUCCUUUGUGAUGUUUGAGGCUGGUCCAGACCCACCAAUGGGACGGGGAGAAGAGCAAGCGGUGGGCGGGGGCGCUGGCAGGGGAGGAGAGGGAGCCUUGGGGAGAAACCUGGGGGAGGCAGGGCUGAGGGCAUAGGGCGUUGAGUGAUUUUUGAGGAAAGGCUCUAGAGAAGCGCCGCGUUAAAGUAGGGAGGAGGGCCCCCCGAAACUGGCUGCCCCGGGGCAGGGCCGGUUGACCCGCGCCUGGGAGGAGCCCCGCGUCCCGUCGCGCCGACCCUGGGCUGGCUGCGUGUGCGUCGGGAGUCGAGCCGCCGUACGCACCAGGAAGUGACUCCCAGCGGCAGAGAUCCACGCUGUCCGCUGGCUUUUUCGUUUGCCGCCUCAGGCUGGCCUAUGUUGUGACACCACUCUGGAGACUGAGCUGUGAGGAACAGAUCAAGGUUGGUACCCAGCUUAAGUUUUCUUUUUUUUUAAGAUUUUAUUUAUUUGGGACAGAGAGAGAGAGAGCACACAAGCAAUGGGGAGGAGCAGAGGGAGAGGGAGAAGCAGAUUCCCUCCCUGAGACCAGAGAGCCUGAUGAGGGGCUCGAUUCCAGGACCCUGAGAUCAUGACCUGAGCUGAAGGCCGACACUUAACCCACUGAGCCACCCAGGUACUCUCCCAGCUUGAGUUUUCACUCCUUACUUCCAUCAGGAUGAAUAGUGCCAGACAUAUAGGAAGCUUGACUGGACAGCUCUACCCAGAUGCUGUAACUUAAAAAUUAAGUGUGUGCUUAAAAUCAACAUGCUAAGGAAUCUGAAAAGUUUUUUUUUUCA